rnacentral:tRNA from 1 species
CCUCAAGUAGAAUAUGGGUUCUGGGAUUUUUUGGGAAAUUUUCCAAUUUUUUUGUAAUUUCCUAAGGUCUUUUCCUAGUUUGAGGU